rnacentral:rRNA from 1 species
GUUCAGAAAAUACAGCCCACCCAAUCUCGUCUGAUCUCGGAAGCUAAGCAGGGUCGGGCCUGGUUAGUACUUAGAUGGGAGAAAAUACAGCCGAACU